rnacentral:lncRNA from 1 species
GGGUUGUUCCCGCUUGGGACUAUUAGAAGUAGUGCUGCUGUGAAUAUUUUUGUACCUGUCUUUUGGUGGGUGGGUGUAUGCAUUCCUGUCAGGUAUGUACUGAGGGGUAGAAUACCUGGAUGAUAAAGCAUGUGACUGUUCAGCUUUAGUAGAAACUGCUAAACAAUCGUCCACAUUUAUACUUGCACUAGCAGAGCUUCUGUUGCAGCACCUCCC